rnacentral:rRNA from 1 species
GACGUAGGGCGCGAGCGUUGUCCGGAUUUAUUGGGCGUAAAGAGCUCGUAGGCGGCUUGUCGCGUCGACUGUGAAAACUCGGGGCUCAACUCCGAGCUUGCAGUCGAUACGGGCAGGCUAGAGUUCGGUAGGGGAGACUGGAAUUCCUGGUGUAGCGGUGGAAUGCGCAGAUAUCAGGAGGAACACCGAUGGCGAAGGCAGGUCUCUGGGCCACUACUGACGCUGAGAAGCGAAAGCAUGGGGAGCGAACAGG